GUGACCAAAGUCAUGUUCAGCCAGUGAGUGGGACAGGGUUUCAUCAACCAGGAAUUCAUUAAACUGAUGUUCAGCUCAAUUCUGUCACGUCACGGUAACAUAGUGUAUGUAUCUUCUAUCCAGCAGCUCUUAAUGCACCAUUCAGACAUUGUUGGAGCUGUAAUAAUGAAGGAUGGAAAAUGAGAUGGAGUUUCAACUCAUUCCAGUGUAAAUUUAAUCUAGUUUUAUACAUUAUAAAGUUUUUCCCAUAAAAAGAUCAAAAGCCUAAGUAAAAUAGGUGCUAAUAGGAACCCUCAGCAACUUAAAAUGAAUGUUCUUUCACAGGGUUCUGAACAGCAUGCCAACACGUGUGCUGAGUUCUGAUUUUUUGCUUGUAAAAGUAUUUAUAUACAACAUUUAAUACAAAAUCUAGUGUCCUGCUUCUUGAAAGGAUUGCCCAGUUUCACCUACUGAAAUAUCAGGUCACUGAGUGUAUUCAGACUGAUGCAACAGCAGUAAUACUUGAUGAAGUACAUAUGUGGGGAGUGAGACAGUUGAAAAGUCUGUUUAAAAAGGAAUCCAUCCAAGCUUCCAAGGAGGCAAUAGGGAGUAGCACACAUUUGUGCAGCAUGGACAUAUGUCCAUGCUGCACAAAUUCUGUGAAUGGAUUUGGGGUAAAUGAUACAGGGUAGAGACUAGAGGGUAAAGGAAGCACAGUCCAUGUAGUCCAGGAAAUACUUGGAUCUGCGUGUAGGCGCUGGCAGUGGAGCUUGUUCACUGUCAAGCUGGCUAUUUAUUUUUGAAUGAUUCACUCUUCAAUUACAGGUUUGGUUGUCCAAUGUUUUUCAGGGUGAGUACCUGAGGAGGAGCGUGAUUAGAAGACCCAACCCCCCCCCUCCCCAAAUUCUUGAAAUAUUUGUAGCUAAUGGGGUGUGAAAUGUAAAAUUGCUAUAUAAAUCAACUUGUUCUUUAACUUGGAAAGCUAUUAAAUUAGCCAGAGAGAGUUUUACAUUCCUCCUGCUUAAUAAAGAUUUUCUUCUUCCCUUCAGCUGUCUCUUUUCCUCUGAAUCUGUCCAAGAAUAAACACAUCACUCACCUGGAUAGGGAAGCAAGUCAUAAUUAGGACUACUGAAGUACAUAUUUGUAUAGAAGACUAUUGCUAUGUAACAGCUACAGUGUAACUGUACCAGUGUCCACAUGCCCAGCCCAGGGGAAAAGUCCCUCUUCUAGUAGCAUUUGUUUUGCCCUCAUGUUUGCAGCCACAUAGCCGUAUUUACCCAAUCACAAGUAUUGCAGGCAGAUUAUGCACUCCAUCUGGUUUUGUUUUUGCUGACUUCAAGAUAUUUAAAGUCCCCCUUUGCCCCCCUUCUGUCUGCUGCAUGGGUGCCAGCUGCUCAUUGACAAAUUCCUCUAAAUUAUCCAGAUUCCAAUCAGGACACUCAAGCAAAAUUGUUUCUGACUACUGGGGUUUAUUGUUGACUGGACUUUAUUAGGAUCAUUGCUCAGGCAUAUUGCUCUGUGCUUUGAACACAGUGAAGUUGUUCCCUAUUAACCUAACUUUGGGGGUGUGGGGAAAUAAAUGAAAAAUAUUUCGUCUGUGUAAGAGCCAGUAAUAAAGAAUCUCAAAUAUAUUUUAUUAACUGCAGCACAGCCAUCUCACUUGGGGGUAGCCUCAAAGGCAAAACGUAACCAAACAGGCUUCCAGAAAAUCAGCAUGAGCACAGAGAUGGUUGGCAUCUUUUG